CCCGCUCGGUCCUGCCGUGCCCCGGAGAUGCUGUCGGGGCUGCGCCGUCGCUUUUUCCCCCCGGAAGCGACCCACGGCGGCAGAUCCGACGGAGAUCGUCCCCGGGGUGACGAAGCUUAUGGAAAAAAAGACCAAAGGCCUUGAGGGAUGUUCUUCUUGACCCCCCGGGGCAAACGGAGGCGUUCGCCUGGUCAGCGUCAGGAGCCAUCCUAACUGAGGCCCUGCUGGGUAAGUGCUUUUCGUGUGACUGGCCGGCGAAGCUGUCUGUGGGAAUGACCUGGCUAUUGCUCGGUGCAGUCCUAAUUAAGGUGUCUUUUACUCCGUGUUCCCAGGCUCCCUCUUUCCCUUCGGUCGCCGUGGAUGUGCCGGACGCCUCUGGCAGGACUGAGCCUGCGGCUUUUAUGUCCAGCGUGCCUGCAGGUAAGAAAAGCUGGGAGUGCAGUCCCUCUGCUUUGAUUGCUGUGCCUCUUUGGUAGGGAUUUUGGAGGGGAAUCCCGGAGCGAUUUGGUUUGAAGGGGACCUUCAAAGGCCACCCCGUCUUCCGUGGGCAGGGACACCUUCCACUGUCCCCGGUUGCUCCGAGUCCCAUCCAGCCCGGCCUGGAACACUUCCAGGGAUGGGGCAGCCUCGGCUUCCCUGUGCAGUGUGCUCUGAUAGCUCUCCGCUGGCGUGGUGAAAAAUGUUGUCAGCGUGUUUUGUUGGACGACGGGAAGCAGGACCGGGGUGAAAAUGACAUUCUCUUAGGUGCUGGGACGAGGAGGACUCGUGCGGGCACCUCCAGAGACAGCGGGGACGGGAGCGUGCUGCGGAGAAGGAAAGUUCCAGGUGGUGGGUGCUGAGAAAUUUGUCCUUGCCUUGCCCUGUGCUCUGCACUUAGCAAUGGGUCAAGUGCAGAAGUUUCCUGGGGACCCUGGAAAAUGAUGCCGGGUCUGCUAAGAAAAGUGGGGCCAAAAGAGCAGGACCUGGGUCUGCGAGCGUGGGAGGAACAAGGGAGGGGUCAUCCUCUGCCUCCAGGAGGGAGGGCAGCAGGAAAGGCCCCGGACUAAAGCACUGAAGUGCCGUUCCCCAGGGAGCCCCUGCCCAGCACUGAG